rnacentral:pre_miRNA from 1 species
UCUAAAACUCGAGAUAUGGGCUGAACACUGAACAAUGUCUGAGCUGCAGGAUAGAUUCCGACUUCUUCGUUGUUGCUAAGAUUUGGACUUCCAAACAACAGAAUUUAGUCUUUGACUCCUCAUGAAUGUUUUAGGCCUAUGUCUUAGCUUUCUAUC